rnacentral:rRNA from 1 species
UACAGAGGGGGCAAGCGUUGUUCGGAAUUACUGGGCGUAAAGGGCGCGUAGGCGGCCCGCUAAGUCGAACGUGAAAUCCCCGAGCUCAACUCGGGAACUGCGUCCGAUACUGGCGGGCUUGAAUCCGGGAGAGGGAUGCGGAAUUCCAGGUGUAGCGGUGAAAUGCGUAGAUAUCUGGAGGAACACCGAUGGCGAAGGCAGGUCUCUGGGCCACUACUGACGCUGAGAAGCGAAAGCAUGGGGAGCGAACAGG